CCUACGGGUGGCAGCAGUGGGGAAUAUUGGUCAAUGGAGGAAACUCUGACCCAGCAACGCCGCGUGAAUGAUGAAGGUCUUCGGAUUGUAAAGUUCUUUUCUAAGGGAAGAAGAAAGUGACGGUACCUUAGGAAUAAGCCUCGGCUAACUACGUGCCAGCAGCCGCGGUAAUACGUAGGAGGCAAGCGUUAUCCGGAAUGACUGGGCGUAAAGGGUGCGUAGGGGGUUUGACAAGUUGGUAGCGUAACUCCGAGGCUUAACCUCGGAACUACUACCAAAACUGUUGGACUCGAGUGGAGGAGGGGCAGAUGGAAUUCCUGGUGUAGCGGUGGAAUGCGUAGAGAUUAGGAGGAACACGAGUGGCGAAGGCGAUUUGCUGGACUGUAACUGACACUGAGGCACGAAAGCGUGGGGAGCAAACAGGAUUAGAUACCCUUGUAGUC
rnacentral:rRNA from 1 species